rnacentral:rRNA from 1 species
UACGGAGGGGGCUAGCGUUGUUCGGAAUUACUGGGCGUAAAGCGCACGUAGGCGGCUUUGUAAGUUAGAGGUGAAAGCCCCGAAGCUCAACUUCGGAAUUGCCUUUAAGACUGCAUCGCUAGAAUUGUGGAGAGGUAAGUGGAAUUCCGAGUGUAGAGGUGAAAUUCGUAGAUAUUCGGAAGAAACACCAGUGGCGAAGGCGACUUCCUGGCCUGUUCUUGACGCUGAGGCGCGAAAGCCAGGGGAGCAAACGGG